CCCUUAGAUGUUCUGGGCCGCACGCGCGCUACACUGAUGCAUUCAACGAGCCUAUCCUUGACCGACAGGUCCGGGUAAUCUUUGAAUCUGCAUCGUGACGGGGAUAGAUUAUUGCAAUUAUUAAUCUUCUACGAGGAAUGCCUAGUAGGCGCAAGUCAUCAGCUUGCGUCGAUUACGUCCCUGCCCUUUGUACACACCGCCCGUCGCUCCUACCGAUUGGGUGUGGUGGUGAAAUGUUCGGAUCGGCCGUAUGUCGCGGUUUCCGCGUCAUGUGGCUGAGAAGUUCAUUAAACCCUCCCACCUAGAGGAAGGAGAAGUCGUAACA
rnacentral:rRNA from 1 species